rnacentral:rRNA from 1 species
GACGAACGCUGGCGGCGCGCUUAACACAUGCAAGUCGAACGGAAAGGCCUGCUUUCCCUUGUGGAUUGCGGGUACUCGAGUGGCGAACGGGUGAGUAACACGUGAGUGAUCUGCCCCCAACUUGGGUAUAAGCCUGGGAAACUGGGUCUAAUUCCCGAUAGGACUGCAGGGUGGUGCCUGUGGUGGAAAACGAUUUUCUAGUGGUUGGGGAUGAGCUCGCGGCCUAUCAGCUUGUUGGUGGGGUAAUGGCCUACCAAGGCGGCGACGGGUGGCCGGCCUGGGAGGGUGGACGGCCACAUUGGGACUGAGAUACGGCCCAGAAUCCUACGGGAGGCAGCAGUGGGGAAUAUGGCACAAUGGGCGGAAGCCUGAUGCAGCGACGCCGCGUGGGGGAUGACGGCCUUCGGGUUGUAAACUCCUGUCGGCCGCGAGGAAGCCACCUGGUUGGAAGGGUGGUGACGGUAGUGGUAGAAGAAGCACCGGCUAACUACGUG